GAUGAACGCUGACAGCAUGCUUAACACAUGCAAGUCGAUGGGGAAGUGGUGCUUGCACCAUGGUAACCAUGGCGGACGGGUGAGUAACGCGUAAGGAACUUGCCUGCGGGACUGGGAUAACAGCAGGAAACUGCUGAUAAUACCGGAUAAGGUCAUUAAGCUGCAUAGCUUAGUGAUGAAAGGAGACGCCUGCGGAGAGCCUUGCGUCCUAUUAGCUAGUUGGAGGGGUAACGGCCCACCAAGGCGAAGAUAGGUAGCCGGCCUGAGAGGGUGGACGGCCACAAGGGGACUGAGAUACGGCCCUUACUCCUACGGGAGGCAGCAGUGGGGAAUAUUGGACAAUGGGGGCAACCCUGAUCCAGCAAUUCUGUGUGCACGAAGACGGUUUUCGGAGUGUAAAGUGCUUUCAGCAGGGAAGAAGGAAGUGACGGUACCUGCAGAAGAAGCGACGGCUAAAUACGUG
rnacentral:rRNA from 1 species